GAUGAACGCUGGCGGCGUGCCUAAUACAUGCAAGUCGAGCGAACAGACGAGGAGCUUGCUCCUCUGACGUUAGCGGCGGACGGGUGAGUAACACGUGGAUAACCUACCUAUAAGACUGGGAUAACUUCGGGAAACCGGAGCUAAUACCGGAUAAUAUAUUGAACCGCAUGGUUCAAUAGUGAAAGACGGUUUUGCUGUCACUUAUAGAUGGAUCCGCGCCGCAUUAGCUAGUUGGUAAGGUAACGGCUUACCAAGGCAACGAUGCGUAGCCGACCUGAGAGGGUGAUCGGCCACACUGGAACUGAGACACGGUCCAGACUCCUACGGGAGGCAGCAGUAGGGAAUCUUCAGCAAUGGGAGAAAGCCUGACGGAGCAACGCCGCGUGAGUGAUGAAGGGAUUCGGAUCGUAAAACUCUGUUAUUAGGGAAGAACAAAUGUGUAAGUAACUAUGCACGUCUUGACGGUACCUAAUCAGAAAGCCACGGCUAACUACGUG
rnacentral:rRNA from 1 species